rfam:Danio rerio unplaced genomic contig CTG2784, GRCz11 reference primary assembly.
GGUAGCAUGGCCGAGGGGUCUAAGGCGCUGGAUUUAGACUUAAGUCUCUUCGGGGGCGUGGUUUUGAAUCCCACCGCUGCCA